UCCAGGGUAGUCUAGUGGACAUGGCAUCUGCCCGGUAAAUUGAACACUGUGAGUUCGAUUUCCAUUCCUGGAC